rnacentral:rRNA from 1 species
AUUGCAGAAUUCAGUGAAUCAUCGAAUCUUUGAACGCACAUUGCGCCCGCCAGCAUUCUGGCGGGCAUGCCUGUUCGAGCGUCAUUUCAACCCUCGAGCCCGACUCUUCGGAGGACGGCUCGGCGUUGGGGGACGGCAGACUCCCCCCGGCAUCUCG